rnacentral:rRNA from 1 species
UGCUGUUUCUUUAUAACGCUGUUCCUGAGCAGUACAACGUACAAACUGAAGAUAAGCAGGGUUGAGCCUGGCCAGUACCUGGAUGGGAGACCUCCUGGGGAAAACUAAGUUUGCUGCUGGAA